GACGAACGCUGGCGGCGUGCCUAAUACAUGCAAGUAGAACGCACAGUUUAUACCUUAGCUUGCUACACCAUAGACUGUGAGUUGCGAACGGGUGAGUAACGCGUAGGUAACCUGCCUGGUAGCGGGGGAUAACUAUUGGAAACGAUAGCUAAUACCGCAUAAUAUUGAUUAUUGCAUGAUAAUUGAUUGAAAGAUGCUAUUGCAUCACUACCAGAUGGACCUGCGUUGUAUUAGCUAGUAGGUGAGGUAACGGCUCACCUAGGCGACGAUACAUAGCCGACCUGAGAGGGUGAUCGGCCACACUGGGACUGAGACACGGCCCAGACUCCUACGGGAGGCAGCAGUAGGGAAUCUUCGGCAAUGGACGAAAGUCUGACCGAGCAACGCCGCGUGAGUGAAGAAGGGUUUCGGAUCGUAAAGCUCUGUUGUAAGAGAAGAACGGGUGUGAGAGUGGAAAGUUCACACUGUGACGGUAUCUUACCAGAAAGGGACGGCUAACUACGUG
rnacentral:rRNA from 1 species